UACGUAGGGGGCUAGCGUUGUUCGGAAUCACUGGGCGUAAAGCGCACGUAGGCGGAUGUGCCAGUCAGGGGUGAAAUCCCGGAGCUCAACUUCGGAACUGCCUCUGAUACAGCACGUCUUGAGUCCGGAAGAGGUGGGUGGAAUUCCUAGUGUAGAGGUGAAAUUCGUAGAUAUUAGGAAGAACACCGGUGGCGAAGGCGGCCCACUGGUCCGGUACUGACGCUGAGGUGCGAAAGCGUGGGGAGCAAACAGG
rnacentral:rRNA from 1 species